GACCCGGCUGGGCGGUCUUGCCGCAAGGUAAGCACUGCUCUGGUUGGGUCUUUCCUUCUGGGGAACCAGCGUGCUCUUAAUUGAGUGCUCUGGGGAUCCAGGACUUUUACUUUGAAAAAAUUAGAGUGUUUAAAGCAGGCUCACGCUUGAAUACAUUAGCAUGGAAUAACGAAAUAGGAC
rnacentral:rRNA from 1 species